rnacentral:pre_miRNA from 1 species
UCAUAACACGAACUGGUGCUAAAGGGUCCUGCCCAACGGCUGUCGGGGCCGGGACCCUUUAGCACCGGUUCGUGUUACCAA